rnacentral:RNase_P_RNA from 1 species
CAGGCGGAAGGGGAGGAAAGUCCGGGCAACGCAGAGCGCCGCGCUUCCUAACGGGAAGAUCUUCGUGAGGGGAUAGCCGCGUAACAGAAAACGACCGCCGCCUUCGGGCGGUAAGGGUGAAAAGGCGGGGUAAGAGCCCACCGCGGACAUGGCGACAUGUUCCGGCCGUACGUCUCGCGGGUUGCAAGACCGUGUAUACCGACGAUUAUCGAGGGUUGCUCGCCCGAUGUCGGGGGGUAGGUUGCUGACGAGCCGGUCGGGUGACCGCCGGCCUAGAUAAAUGGCAGAGGCUUUUCCUCCGGGAAAAGUACAGAACCCGGCUUAUACGCCCUG